rnacentral:rRNA from 1 species
CCUGAAGCCGGUGGGCCAACCCUUCGGGGAGGCAGCCGUCGAGGGUGGGGUGGGUGAUUGGGACGAAGUCGUAACAAGGUAGCCGUAGCGGAAGCUGCGGCUGGAUCACCUCCUUU